rnacentral:misc_RNA from 1 species
AACGCACCUUGCGCCUCUUGGUAUUCCGAGGGGCAUGCCUGUUUGAGUGUCAUUGAAACCCUCAAGAGGGGAAGCUUUUUGUGGCUUCUUCUUUUGGAAUUGGAGCGUGCUGGCCUUUUAGAAGCCCAGCUCCUCUGAAAUGCAUUAGCGAUGUGACAUCCUCGUGCCAUCACGCUUCUCCAGCAUUGAUAAGUCUCUUUCAUGCUCGAGUGUGUUGUGCUUAGGUGGAAAGUUUUGCUCGCUCACAGACCCAUUGGGGGCUUUGCUCCCCCCAAUGCUUUGACCAAAUUAACCUCAAAUCAGGUAGGAUCACCCGCUGAACUUAA